UGGGGAAUAUUGCACAAUGGGCGCAAGCCUGAUGCAGCAACGCCGCGUGAACGAUGAAGGUCUUCGGAUCGUAAAGUUCUGUUGCAGGGGAAGAUAAUGACGGUACCCUGUGAGGAAGCCCCGGCUAACUACGUGCCAGCAGCCGCGGUAAUACGUAGGGGGCUAGCGUUAUCCGGAUUUACUGGGCGUAAAGGGUGCGUAGGUGGUCCUUCAAGUCGGUGGUUAAAGGCUACGGCUCAACCGUAGUAAGCCGCCGAAACUGGAGGACUUGAGUGCAGGAGAGGAAAGUGGAAUUCCCAGUGUAGCGGUGAAAUGCGUAGAUAUUGGGAGGAACACCAGUAGCGAAGGCGGCUUUCUGGACUGCAACUGACACUGAGGGACGAAAGCGUGGGUAGCAAACAGG
rnacentral:rRNA from 1 species